GACGAACGCUGGCGGCGUGCUUAACACAUGCAAGUCGAACGGAAAGGCCCUGCUUUUGUGGGGUUCUCGAGUGGCGCACGGGUGUGUAACACGUGAGUAACCUGCCCUUGACUUUGUGAUAUCUUCAGGAAACUGGGGCUAAUACCGCAUAUGAGCUCCUGCUGCAUGGUGUGGGUUGGAAAGUUUCGGCUGUUGUGGAUGGACUCGCGGCUUAUCCGCUUGUUGGUGUGGUAGUUGCUUACCAAGGCUUUGACGGGUAGCCGGCCUGGGAGGGUGACCGGGGACAUUGGGACUGAGGUAGGGACCAGAAGCCAACGGGAGGCAGUAGGGGGGAAUAUGGCACAGUGGGGGGAAGUGUGAGGCAGAAACGCCGGGUGCGGGAUGACGGCCUUCGGGGGGUAAACCGCUGUCGCCUGAGACGAAGCGGGAGUGACGGUAAUGGGUAAAGAAGCACCGGCUAACUACGUG
rnacentral:rRNA from 1 species